UGGCAGGUGAGCCGAAUGGUAAGGCAGCGGGCUGUUAACCCGUGGCGAAAGCACCUGUGGGUUCGAGUCCCACCCUGUCAGCCA
rnacentral:tRNA from 2 species